GAGAUUUCUUACCUUCACUCAGGCUGACGACGGCUGAUUAACGAGCCAAAAAGAAUAUCACAUGGACAGAAACAGUGACUCAAGUUCGGAUGAAGAAAAAAACAAGGUAGUAAAAAAAGUCGUAGACUAUGCAGCUGGAGAAGUAAGAGACCACGUAAUUGAAUCAGUGGGGUCCGACAUCGCAGAGGCGGUUUGUGAAGCAGGUAAUCAUCAUUUGAAGGCUCAUUUUCGCAAUUGAUCUAACGGGGUCUUUCGUUUUUGUUUUGAAAUCGCGCUGUUGUUAAAUGAUGCCUCUGAUUGGUCAAGUAUUUUGAUCGGACUUCUGAUCUGGUCCAUCACGCCGAGUUGUCGCUUGAACGGUUGCGCAAAGUAAAAACACUGCAAAUUCAACUUGAAUAUUUCUCCAUUGAAACCGGGAACAGUCCGUUGACAGGUUUAAAAUCAAUACAGCAAAGUAUUGAAUAAUCAAUUAUUGAUAACACUCGCUGAUAAUGUGCCGAAGACCGUGACAACAAAUCCACGAGAAGCAUGUCACCUUGAAGCGUUUAACCCUGGUUCAAUGCUGCCCAUUAUUCCGAACCAAUCAAAUUUAACUUCCCAAUAUGGAGCAACGGCUCUCGCGUGGAUAUGUGAUCUUCCCGCGGACUACACGUGCACACGGUUCACAUGACAGUACUCUACGAAUCAUAUGUCGUCUUAGCCGGAGUAAUGGCGGACACAUUUCGUUGCGCGUUGAGAGUAGGUUGUCGUUUCUGGACCGAUUUCUGCACUCAUCAUGAAAAUCAAACUAACCUUUUCCAGGAGCUGCUAGUGUAAUAUCUAGGCCAGUUAUUUGCCAAGUCUCAAGUGCAGGUAAGCAUUUCUUGCAUCAAAACUAGUCAAUGGAAAUCAUGUUAUGUGGAAAACGUUUGUUUAGCACACGCGCUUAACAUGGAUAUUCUUUUUGUCGUUUGCGGGAUAAUAAUGAUCAUUAUUAUAUGGCUUUGGCUUGUGGUCGAUAUAACGCGCGCUCUG